AAAAGAGAUCAAUUUUUUCUCUUCUAAAUGAUCGAUAAGAUACAAAUUUAAAAAAAGAGAUCAAUUUUUUCUCUUCUAACUUCUAAGUGCAUUUAUUUUUGCUACCUUACGCAUGAAAUUAUGUUAUGUGCAAGUGCAACAAUAAUGAUAAAUUCUUUAGGAAUACGACUUCUUUUUCUUUAUCGAUAAACGAUAAAUUCUUUAGGACCUGAUUAGACGACAAUAUGUAAGUAUAAUCGCAAGAUGAUGAAUGAUGUCAAUUCAGUUGUUGCACCUGUUGGUAGCACUAUUACGGCAACACCUUUGCUAGGAAGGAGAGAGAAAAAACAUGUGAGGAAGAUCGAGUCAGAUGAGUAUUGUAUGUGCUGAAAGUGAGAUGAUGUCUUCUUUACAAACUCCAUCAAGAAAAGCAUAUCAGAAAGUGGAUCGUUUGUGCUAUAAGAUGGUGAUGAUUGGAAUGCAAAACUAUCUACCAAGAGAAGCAAAUCCGUAGGCAGAUCUUCAAUGCAAGAACAUGAUGAUGAGUUGAAUGCGAAACUAUCCAGCAAUAGGGUUCGGAGAGUGAUUAAGAAGGAAAAAAACACGAGUUCUUCACUUAUAGGAGACUGUAGUAACUAAAUGCACACUUUUAUUUCAGUCAGGUUUAUUUCUUUUUUAAACAUUUGUUUUACAAUGUCUAUAAGCUAUUAUGGAUAUGAACAACUUUUAUAUUGUCGUUGUUGCUGUUGGUAUUGGGCAUUGUCUUCAUAACAAUACGUGUUUUCAUUAUUCUAUAUAACGCUUUUCACCCUA